CCAACAUUUGUUUCGUUUCAGGUCUACAAUGUACAAGUUGCCAACCUAAAUGUACAGAAUGAAAAGUUCUAUAGUUAGAAAUAAAAAUGUGCCAAAUGUAAAAAAAAAUAAACAAGUGUACCGGUACGUUGAAUAAUAAAUGAACACAUGAAAGUCCAGACAGAACUAGAGAGUUAUCAAACUUGGUUCCUACCUCCCCUUCAUAUCUCACAACA